AAGGUUAUAGUUUUAAAGGUAAAACUCUCGGUUGUCAUCCGGGCAUUAUGGGUUCGACCCCCAUUGAUCUUG
rnacentral:tRNA from 2 species